rnacentral:lncRNA from 1 species
UGCCGCCCUCUGCCGCUCGCCCCAGGCCAGCUGCAUUUCAGCACAGGGGAGGCGAUGGAGGCCGGCAGGCGGGAGGGCCCUCUGGAGCCUGGACUGAGCUCGAUCGGGUGCGUGGGGCUGGGGUCGCAUCGUGCUCACCCACGCUGCUUUCCUCAGGGCUUGCCAGGAGUGCCAGGACACCCCGGGGCUCAGGUGAGUUUUGGGGGCAGGGGCUGGCCUGGGGAAGAGGGGUCCAUGUGGGCAGCGCAGAGGGGAUGGGGACAUCCAGGACUGCCAGGGCUGCCCCACGCAGGGAGGCGCUGGGGCUGCUGGUAGGGAUGGGGUCAGCUCCCUCUGAAUUUUUGCUCCAGGGUGAACGUGGUGAGAGAGGAGAAGUGGGAGACAAGGGUGCCCGAGGACUGCCUGGGCGCAGGGUGAGUACAGCGCAGCCACCCUGUCCUGGCAGCACCCGCCUUGUCCCUGGCAUCUCCCUGCUCAUAGGGGCCAGGCUGCCCUGGCUCACCCCAGGGUCUGGGUGCUCAUCUUUUCCAUCAGGGCAUCCCUGGGAGCAGAGGAGAAACGGGCGUCCACGGCAGCACGGGACCUCCAGGAGAGAUGGGCCUGCAGGGCUUGCCGGGCGUUCCCACCUCCACGGUAAGGGCUGCUGGUGCGGGGCUGGCUGGGGACGGGGACCCGGCCUCACCGCGAGGCUGCAGGGGGCUCUCGGGGGUCAGGGCUUUGCUCGGAAUAGCUGGGACAUAGGAG